rnacentral:rRNA from 1 species
UCCCUAGCUGGUCUGAGAGGAUGACCAGCCACACUGGAACUGAGACACGGUCCAGACUCCUACGGGAGGCAGCAGUGGGGAAUAUUGCACAAUGGGCGCAAGCCUGAUGCAGCCAUGCCGCGUGUGUGAAGAAGGCCUUCGGGUUGUAAAGCACUUUCAGCGAGGAGGAAGGCGGUAAGGUUAAUAACCUUAUCGAUUGACGUUACUCGCAGAAGAAGCACCGGCUAACUCCGUGCCAGCAGCCGCGGUAAUACGGAGGGUGCAAGCGUUAAUCGGAAUGACUGGGCGUAAAGCGCACGCAGGCGGUCUGUUAAGUUGGAUGUGAAAUCCCCGGGCUUAACCUGGGAACUGCAUUCAAAACUGACAGGCUAGAGUCUUGUAGAGGGGGGUAGAAUUCCAGGUGUAGCGGUGAAAUGCGUAGAGAUCUGGAGGAAUACCGGUGGCGAAGAAA